rnacentral:tRNA from 1 species
GGAGAGGUACCCAAGCGGCUCAAGGGGAGAGUUUGCUAAACUCUUAGGUCGGGUAUUUGCCCGGCGCGAGGGUUCGAAUCCCUCCCUCUCCG